CAGUAGCCGCGGUAAUACAGAGGGUGCGAGCGUUAAUCGGAUUUACUGGGCGUAAAGCGUGCGUAGGCGGCUAAUUGAGUCGGAUGUGAAAUCCCCGAGCUUAACUUGGGAAUUGCAUUCGAUACUGGUUAGCUAGAGUGUGGGAGAGGAUGGUAGAAUUCCAGGUGUAGCGGUGAAAUGCGUAGAGAUCUGGAGGAAUACCGAUGGCGAAGGCAGCCAUCUGGCCUAAUACUGACGCUGAGGUACGAAAGCAUGGGGAGCAAACAGGAUUAGAUACCCGAGUAGUCCCUGUCUCUUAUAC
rnacentral:rRNA from 1 species